rnacentral:lncRNA from 1 species
GCAGAAGAGGAAAUCAGAAAGUUGAAGCAUGAGGGCGAUUGAAGUGAUAGAAGUUCUCUGACACUGGCUUAAGGGCCGAGGAGGCCUUGUGACAAGGAAUGUAGGUGGCCUCUAGGUGCUGAGAAUGAUCCCUCAUUGACAGCCAUCAAGAAAACGGGGACCUCGCUCCUACAACUAUAAGGAAAUGAAUUCUGCCAACAACCAGUGAGCUGGAGAGGACCCCACGUCCCAGAGGAGACCUCAGCCCUGGCUGGCACCUUGAUUUCAGCCCUCUGAGGCCCCAAGAAGAGAAUCCAGCCACACUAUGCCUGGAUUUUUGACCUACAGAAACUAUGUCUUCUGGGAGAGGUCACGUGUACAUGUCCCCCUCCUCAGUGUGACUAAAUGGAUCAGAGGCUUUCCUCCUCUACAGGACACUGGCCAGAAGACUACUGGAGAGUUUGAACAGGGGACCCUGCUGUCUCCCCUGUGACAUCGGCCCAGAACAAGUCCAGCUGCUGAUUGCCUGGCGGGACCCAACAGUGCGAGUGUCACAGAAAGCAUUGAGGACUAGGCCUACAGCUCUCCCCUGUGAUGAGGCGCUGAGGGUUGGCAGCCCUUUGGCCCUUGAGGAAGAUGAGAAAGUGCGUGACUCAGAAUGUCAGAACAGGCAGUGCCCUUUGAAUCACAACAUCGACUUUGCCUUCUUACAAACAGGGCCGCUGAGCACAAGAGCAAGCAAGUGCCUUCCUCACUGUCAUAGAGCGUCUCGUGAGUGGCAGAGUCAAGACAACAACCCAGGUCCCUGGACUCCCAGGUUGGUGCUGUGCUCUUUCCACUCUCUCCUGCUGCCCUCUCAGACUCAGCAACCAAAUGUGUGUCUGGAAGUGCACUGCUUCGUAUGUCAGCCAGACUGACCUUUACGUUCCCAGAAUCAUCAACCCUUUGUGGAAACCAUGGAAAGACGGUGCUGGAAAAAUAAUGACAAGCAUACCACGCUGUGGAGACAACCAGAAGCCCUGCUCAGACUGUGGAGUCCUCCUCACCUUC